rnacentral:rRNA from 1 species
UACGUAGGGGGCUAGCGUUGUCCGGAAUCAUUGGGCGUAAAGAGCGUGUAGGCGGCCCGGUAAGUCCGCUGUAAAAGUCAAAGGCUCAACCUUUGAAUGUCAGUGGAUACUGUCGGGCUAGAGUCCGGAAGAGGCGAGUGGAACUCCUGGUGUAGCGGUGAAAUGCGUAGAUAUCUGGAGGAACACCGGUGGCGAAGGCGGCAUCCUGGACCAACACUGACACUGAAAAGCGAAAGCCAGGGGAGCAAACGGG